GGUUUCUGUCCUUGUCCACUAAAAUAGCCCUGCAACCCUCGAAGAAAUCCUUGCUGACUUCUUUCUUCAAUACAUGGCAAAUCAUUCUGUAUUCCCGAAUCAGGCACUGACCUAUGCGCUGAAGCCGCCCUUCUCUUAUCGAUCUGAGAAAGAUUUUAAGACUGGUUGGUGAUGCCUUCUUCAACGACUGAAUUGCAGCAGUAAGCCACUCGUCAGCUCCAGAGACAGCCUCUUCCUCAAGAGCAGAUAAAAUUUCUUCGACGGAUUGUUUUGAGAAGCAUUUGUCAAUUAUAUCCAAUUUAUUAUACGCACUGCUUUCCUUCAGAGGUACCCGUCGUGAAAAUUGAUCAAUGAUUGUACAAACAGCAAAAGGAUCGGAACUCUCCACCUUCACAAGCAUGUCUUCG
rnacentral:misc_RNA from 1 species